rnacentral:tRNA from 1 species
GGGGAUGCAGCUCAGUUGGUAGGGCGCUUACCUCUCAUGCACAAGGCCCUGGGUUCGAUCCCCAGCACCACCA